CAGCAGCAGCCACGGUAAUACGAAGGGGGCUAGCGUUGUUCGGAUUUACUGGGCGUAAAGGGCGCGUAGGCGGACUGGUAAGUCAGGGGUGAAAUCCCAAGGCUCAACCUUGGAACUGCCUUUGAUACUGUUUGCCUUGAGUUCGAGAGAGGUAAGUGGAACUGUGAGUGUAGAGGUGAAAUUCGUAGAUAUUCGCAAGAACACCAGUGGCGAAGGCGGCUUACUGGCUCGAAACUGACGCUGAGGCGCGAAAGCGUGGGGAGCAAACAGGAUUAGAUACCCGAGUAGUCCCUGUCUCUUAUAC
rnacentral:rRNA from 1 species